AUUGAACGCUGGCGGCAGGCCUAACACAUGCAAGUCGAACGAGUGGCGGACGGGUGAGUAAUGUCUGGGAAACUGCCUGAUGGAGGGGGAUAACUACUGGAAACGGUAGCUAAUACCGCAUACCAUCGGAUGUGCCCAGAUGGGAUUAGCUAGGCGGUGGGGGAAAGGCUCACCUAGGCGACGCUCCCUAGCUGGUCUGAGAGGAUGACCAGACACACUGGAACUGAGACACGGUCCAGACGCCUACGGUAGGAAGCAGGGGGGAAUAUUGCACAAUGGUCGCAAGCCUGAUGCAGCCAUGCCGCGUGUAUGAAGAAGGCCUUCGGGUUGUAAAUUACUUUCAGCGUGGAGGCGUUACCCGCAGAAGAAGCACCGGCUAACUCCGGGCCAGCCGCCGCGGUAAUAC
rnacentral:rRNA from 1 species